rfam:Dacryopinax sp. DJM-731 SS1 chromosome Tnknown DACRYscaffold_7, whole genome shotgun sequence.
CUCUGGUUAGCUCAGUUGGUAGAGCGUCAGACUGUAAUGUGAACAACUAUUCGGAAUCUGAAUGUCGCUAGUUCGAUCCUGGCACCAGAGA